UAAUCAUUAACAGCAGUCCCAUUCCCAAUAUGAGCCAAUAAUAGAAGGAGAUACCAGUUUCACUUAAUGGUAGGAGCUGUGCAAACAUCUGCUAUUUCUUUGCUGUGACUGUGUCACCCAGCAAGGCCGAUGCGGCUCCCAGCAGUCUUGUUAGGUAUUUUUUUUUCCCCUGAUUUGCUGGACAUUAUAAGUUGUGUAACUCUUUUUCUAUUUUUCACUGGCUACCAAAAAUACAGAAUGGCCACAUAUAGCAUUUCUGAAAAUGUGUUUAGUCUAUUAACGAGCCUGCAAAACGCUAGUGUUAUUUAGAACACAUUUUGGGAAAUCGUUCAGCUAACAGAGAAGCAGAUCCAAAUGACAACUCUGAUAGAGAGUGAAGGAGUGAGGAAAUAGAGAUAGCAGACCAAGAGGGGAGCAAGGGGCUGGGGGGGGCGGGGAGUGGACACCCGGUCCCACAGGCUUGACUGCCUCCCAUCUAGGCACUUGGAACUUUUGGCCAGGAGGUUUUAAAAACCCAGGGCCCCACUUGCCCCAUGUUGCUGGGGAUGGUGGUGACUGUCCCUGGCUAUACCACGGUGGUCCACAUGGGCUGGCAGGUAGGGAACCCCAGGAGCCAGGCCAGUUGGCCUUGAGAGUCCCCAAAGACCUGGACAUGGGGCGCCCGCAGAGGGUAUCAGCACUCCCCUGGUUUCCCUAGCAGGUUUCCCCGACCAGGACCUAAUGCCAUGCCCAGCCUGCCGGAGAGAUGGGGAUUUCUUCACCGGGCCCACCCGAUUUUGUCGCGUUCGGUCCCAUUCUGCCUCGCCGGCAGGCCAGCUUCCCUGCGGCCACUUCAGCUCUCGCCGCCUGCGAGGUCCGUGCCCCGCGGAGAGGGCGACCAGACGGUCUGGAGCAGCAUGAUGGCUCCAGGUUCUGGGUGGGGUGUGCUGAAGUCAGAGGAGGGGGUCCUAAAACACGGGGAUGGUGCCACCGGACCUGCUCCACUCGGCUUUCCCCUCAGUUCUGAGUAAGAUCCAAAGACUGGAGCCUGGUCUGGGAGUGAGGGGCGGUCUCGGGGUAUAGUUGGGUCAAAAGAAGGCACAGAGUGUGGGUCAAGGUCAGGCACACCCAGGCCACACUGCCAGUUUUGAAAUGCAUUUUCCUGCUGUAUGACUUUAGGCAAGGCUCUCAGCCUUUCUGCACCAGUAAAAUUGGGGAAGAUCACCAUGACUACCUCAGCGGGUCCUUAAGAAGAUUCAAGAUGUUUGUUGAGUGCUGAGUACAUGGUCAGCUUAAAGGGUGCUGUGUAAGUAAGUGUUGGGUAAAUAAAUAAAACAGCAGGAAGGGACUUGGAGCUGAGGACU
rnacentral:lncRNA from 1 species